rnacentral:rRNA from 1 species
UCGAGAAUAUUCGACAAUGGGCGAAAGCCUGAUCGAGCGACGCCGCGUGCAGGAUGAAGGCCCUCGGGUUGUAAACUGCGGUAGUAGGGGAGGAACGCAAGUGACUGUACCCUACGGAAAGUGGUUGGUAACUACGUGCCAGCACCAGCGGUAAUACGUAGACCACAAGCGUUAUCCGGAUUUAUUGGGCGUAAAGAGCAGGUAGGAGGUCCGGUGCGUCUCUGGUUAAAGCCCACCGCCUAACGGUGGAAGUGCCAGAGAUACGAUCGGACUGGAGGAUGUGAGAGGUGCAUGGAACUCACGGUGUAGGGGUGAAAUCCGUUGAUAUCGUGGGGAACACCAAAGGCGAAGGCAGUGCACUGGUACAUUCCUGACUCUGAGAUGCGAAAGCGUGGGGAGCAAAAAGGAUUAGAUACCCCCGUAGUCCCUGAGCGGGCUGGCAAGGCGCAU